rnacentral:rRNA from 1 species
GAUGAACGCUGGCGGCGUGCUUAACACAUGCAAGUCGAGCGAAGCACUUUACUUGGAUUUCUUCGGAAUGACGAGUUUUGUGACUGAGCGGCGGACGGGUGAGUAACGCGUGGGUAACCUGCCUCAUACAGGGGGAUAACAGUUAGAAAUGACUGCUAAUAACGCAUAAGACCACAGCACCGCAUGGUGCAGGGGUAAAAACUCCGGUGGUAUGAGAUGGACCCGCGUCUGAUUAGCUAGUUGGUGGGGUAACGGCCUACCAAGGCAACGAUCAGUAGCCGGCCUGGGAGGGCGACCAGCCACAUUGGGACUGAGACACGGCCCAAACUCCUACGGGAGGCAGCAGUGGGGAAUAUUGCACAAUGGGGGAAACCCUGAUGCAGCGACGCCGCGUGAAGGAAGAAGUAUUUCGGUAUGUAAACUUCUAUCAGCAGGGAAGAAAAUGACGGUACCUGACUAAGAAGCCCCGGCUAACUACGUGCCAGCCGCCGCUGUAA